rnacentral:snoRNA from 1 species
GUGCAUCAGAAUGCAAAAGAAAUCCCUGCGCUUUGUCUGUCUUUGUGGUAACUUCAAUUGAAUUGGGGAAUACAACU